rnacentral:rRNA from 1 species
GACGAACGCUGGCGGCGUGCCUAAUACAUGCAAGUCGAGCGAAUCAACAGGAGCUUGCUCCUGUUGAUUAGCGGCGGACGGGUGAGUAACACGUGGGCAACCUGCCUGUAAGACUGGGAUAACACCGGGAAACCGGUGCUAAUACCGGAUAAUCUUUUUCCUCUCAUGAGGAAAAACUGAAAGUCGGUUUCGGCUGACACUUACAGAAGGGCCCGCGGCGCAUUAGCUAGUUGGUGAGGUAACGGCUCACCGAGGCGACGAUGCGUAGCCGACCUGGGAGGGUGAUCGGCCACACUGGGACGGAGACACGGCCCAGACUCCUACGGGAGGCAGCAGUAGGGAAUCUUCCACAAUGGACGAAAGUCUGAUGGAGCAACGCCGCGUGAGCGAUGAAGGCCUUCGGGUCGUAAAGCUCUGUUGUUAGGGAAGAACAAGUACCGGAGUAACUGCCGGUACCUUGACGGUACCUAACCAGAAAGCCACGGCUAACUACGUGCCAGCCGCCGCCGUAA